rnacentral:rRNA from 1 species
UACAGAGGGUGCAAGCGUUGUUCGGAAUUAUUGGGCGUAAAGCGCGCGUAGGCGGCUUUGCAAGUCGGGUGUGAAAGCCCUCAGCUCAACUGAGGAAGUGCGCCCGAAACUGCAGAGCUUGAGUGCCGGAGAGGGUGGCGGAAUUCCCCAAGUAGAGGUGAAAUUCGUAGAUAUGGGGAGGAACACCCGUGGCGAAGGCGGUUCUCUGGGACGGUACUGACGCUGAGACGCGAAAGCGUGGGGAGCGAACAGG